UCCCGGCGGUUCCAGUCGCAGCCACUUUUAUUGGGUCUAAAACAUCCGUAGCUUGCUUUGUAAGUCUCUUGUGAAAUCGGGCAUCUUAAGUGUCCGGCGGGCAAGAGAUACUGCUUAGCUAGAGACUGGGAGACGCAAGAAGUACGAAUGGGGUAGUGGUUAAAUACGUUGAUCCUGUUUGGACUAACAACAGCGAAGGCAUCUUGCGAGAACGGAUCUGACAGUGAGGGAUGAAGGCUAGGGGC
rnacentral:rRNA from 1 species